UACUGGUGAACAAGAUUCAUGGUGCUUAAUCUUAGCCUAACAUUUUUCUUAGGUCUCUGUAUGUGAACUUCAAGACAGGUGUUUAUUAGCCACUUGCAAUAAACUAGAAAACAUCCUUGGGUAAAAACCACCUUUCCCCAAUUUACACGUAUCUUCAUUUGCUCUUCAGAUUUUCACAGAAAUGCAACAGUUUUCAAUUCCAGGGAUGGUGCUUUUUGAUCCGAGCCGUACUUGAUUUGAGAACAGUGAAUUUCAAAGGAGGAUUUGCCAAACCAGAAUGGUCAACAUCACCUUGAAAAUCUCAUUUAGGAAAGAAGAUUGUGACUCCCCCUGCAGAAGCAAAGAAACUGAAUGGCCCCUUCAUAGGUGACCACAGUGCUUCUCCGGUGUAUGGAACCAUUUCCCUGUCAGUCUUGCAAGAGUGAAUCAGCUAUUAUAAUGUUGGGUAAACAAAAGGUGGACACUCUACACCAGGCACCGAGGGUCCGGCCGGUUGGGAACGGGAAGUGGCGGCGCGGGGACCCGCCGGAAAUGCAGGCGCACUUUCUCUCCGGUGCUCAGGCGGACCCACCCAUCGCAUUGCUGGACGAAGCUCAGUCCUAAUACUUUCAAGGUAAGGAAAGGUUUGCACCAUUCAUGCAGGGAACCAGUGUGAUGUGAAGUAGAGUCCACAGUGACCUACAAACCCUGGAGGUUUUCGGAGCCUCAUCCACAAAUGUCUUCCCAGUGUCCAAACUGGGGGAGACAGACACAGAAGCAAUCCUGAAAAACUGUUCUCCUUACUUACACGUUCUGUUCUUCACAUCACUUUUGGUUUUUUGAGAAGGCGAAAAUGAGUGAUCACUGACCACUCCGGUUGCUUCGCUGCAGUUCUUUCUCUUCAAAGCCACUCUCAUUAGUGAACUGGCUCCCCGUGCAGGAAGGAAGCAGAGUGCCUGGCCUGGUCCGUACGUGAAAGCUGUGGGCACACGGAGUCGGUUCCCACAGGUAUCAAUCUCCGCAUGUUCCAGAAAACUGCCAAUCUACACCCAAGAUCUGAGACGGUUGCCAGGGCCACUAUAAAAUAGAAAAAAAGAAUGCCCAGUGGUAAAAGGCAUGUGGAUUUUUGUUCAUGCCUUUUACCUGAAUGUAGUCAAUUAAACAAAAUAAACUAGAAUGAUCACAGAGUGAAAAACAAAAACAUGCAAACUAAUUAGAAUUUUAACACUCCCACAGCCGUUCAGCCAGUCCAUUUGUUUUUAAGGCCAAAGUUCCCACCACAUGAAAGGCACACAGCAGGCCC